UACGUAGGUGGCAAGCGUUGUCCGGAUUUACUGGGCGUAAAGGGCGUGCAGGCGGUUUGUUAAGUCUAGGGUGAAAGCUCCCGGCUCAACUGGGAGAGGUCCUUGGAUACUGGCAGACUUGAGGAGGGUAGAGGAGAGUGGAAUUCCCGGUGUAGUGGUGAAAUGCGUAGAUAUCGUAAGGAAGACCAGUGGCGAAGGCGGGUCUCUGGACAGUUCCUGACGCUGAGGCACGAAGGCCAGGGGAACAAACGGG
rnacentral:rRNA from 1 species